rnacentral:rRNA from 1 species
CGAGCGGCGGACGGGUGAGUAAUGCUUGGGAAUAUGCCUUAUGGUGGGGGACAACAGUUGGAAACGACUGCUAAUACCGCAUAACGUCUACGGACCAAAGGGGGGGAUCUUCGGACCUCCCGCCAUUUGAUUAGCCCAAGUGAGAUUAGCUAGUUGGUAAGGUAAUGGCUUACCAAGGCGACGAUCUCUAGCUGGUUUGAGAGGAUGAUCAGCCACACUGGGACUGAGACACGGCCCAG